UACCAUAAUUAUUUACAUAACAUUUGUUUCAAGUCUAGAUCUUCGUAGUGGCAUGAAUACGUAAGGAUCUAAAGUUUGAUCUGCGUGAAUUUUAAUAUCACUGAAUCGUUAUUGGGGAGGCAAGGAAAUUGGCCAACUUCGAAAUCUUGAUCCACCAUGGUAAUUCAGUAUUGCGUGUCGUCACUAAAAUUCAAAUGUGGCGGUAUGUAAAUGUAACUAGUAUGUUGGAUUGCAAUGUUAUUAUUGAAAUAGUCUUACUUUCAGCAAGGCACUGUUAAAUUAUCACCGGUUUCUGCAAACUUUGCUUGAAGGCACAAAUUUAUUUGUAAAGAAAUAACUUACAAAACAUUCUGCUGAGAAGAAUUGCUGUUUACUCCGUACUCCAGUUUUACAGAUCGCGUUGGAUUAAAAUUUCAUCAGUCUGCCUCCAGAUUACUGAGGUUAAAAAACUGCAUAUAAUCAGCUGCCAACACUGAUGCAAAAUAUUGUCCAGAGUUACCUAAGGCAUAUAUAGGAUGAAGAAAAAAUACCACACCUGGCAGUCAGCAUGUGAUUCCUGAUUGCAAUAGAAAACAAAAGUGUAUCGAGCAAAACCUAGCCCUCAUAUAUGUUUAAUGGAAUUGUGAUUUAAAAAACAAGGCUCUGACAGUGGUGUAAGUGCAUGCUACAUGGCCAAGAAUAGGUAGAAUGAACUCUGUGCUGUGCCAGAACUGUCCCAUUACCUCACUGAAGCAACGCCAUGGGGAACAGAUAUCUGGACUUCCCAUUGUUCCAGUUGCAUUCACACCCAACUUUCUUUUUUCUCCAAUUGAAGCGUCAAAUUGUACCCAUUUUUCACCUCCACAGUGUGGUAUGUUGUGUAUUUCUUUCUGCUUCUGUUACCUUUAAACAUUAAGACAUAACAUGAACUACUUACAGAUGUAUACGACCACUUUGUUUCAUCAUGACAUAAAUAAAGCCAAUAGAAAAUAAAAGUGGAUAUAGUAACAUUGUCUGUAUCCUUGAGGCAUAAAAAAUUCAGUAGGUAGGCAACACUAAAUUGCAACCUAUGCUAAGCACAAUAAUUCCAUUCUGUACAUUUGAUGUCCAGGCUUAUCUUCACAUAGCUGGUUUGUACAUGUACAAGAAACAUUCACUUAAGAUGUUCAAAGUGACCACCUUGCAUUUGCAAGCACUUCGCCACUCACUGAAUCGUGCUUUGCUGUACCCUAAAAACACACCUGCAUCUACGAUUGCUGAAAAGAGCUGUGCAGUUGAGCUGUUAAAAAAAGUCAUGUACAUCCAUAUGUGGAGUACUAUAAACUUGUUCCUUUAAGUGUCCCCACAAAUAAAAAAUCUAGUGGAUUAAGGUCCAAGAAAUGUGGAGACCAGAACAUUGGACAUCCACAACCAAUCAAUUUCCCUGAAAACACUUCAUUUUAAUAGUUACAUACAUUCAUUCCAAUGUUUGGUGAUGCACCAUCAUACGUAAACCAUUGCUGUCACCAAACACAAAGUGGGACAUUUUUAAUGUGUCAGGCAAAGCAUUACAAAGAAAUAUACAAUAUAGAUGUGAAUUCAACUUGUCCAGCAAUAUGUAAGGGCCUGAAAGCACUCCUCCCAUGAUUCAAGCACACAGGUUUAUGCCAAAGCAUGCCUAAAAGCCACAUUCACAGGUGACAUGUGGGUUGCAUUCCAACCAAUAAUGGCUGUUGUGGAGGUUGAAAAUACUUUCACAAGUAAAGCUAGAGUCAUCAGUCUUUUCAUGUUAUUUAUAAAAUUUCCAUUAUCUUCCACUCACUGCAAAAGCCGCUCACAAAACUAUACUCAGCCAAUGCGGUCUUCUGGCCACUGGUGUUGGGUUAACAUGUAAUGAUGUGGAUGCAGUUCUUCAUCGUGUGACACUGCAAAAACCAGUCUUUGACAUAUCUGGAAGUGCCUUGUAAUAUCACAGACUCUUCACCGAGGUAACUGGUGAAUGGUUUUCAGAAUUGUGUCCUCCGUUUGUGGAAUACAUGUCUAGUCCUUGGAUGACAUCUGUCCAUUGCUUGUGGACAUAGAUUAUUGGUUUCCCAAAGGCAUCGCUCCAAGCAAUGAAAAACAUUCUUAUUGGGAUGGCGCUUUUGAGGGUACCAUGCAGCAUAUGCACUAGCAGCGGCAGCAACUUGGUUAUUCGAUGCACUCAGCACCAAAAGCAUAUCGAGAUAUUCUUCAUUUGUGUACUCCAUCGGCAAGCCACCAUACAUGAAUUGACAGGACCAGUUAUGAGUGUGCAUUCCAUGAUUAGUAGGUGCAUGCACACAAUUUAAUGAAUCCCACUGUCAUGUGAUAGGUAUUGUCUUGUGACAGAAUGGUGUCCUGCUUGUAAAUGAUGAGAACUAGAGAACGGAUCUCUAAAAAACCAGACAAGUGCAAGUAGGACUCACACUCUAAGGGUUCUGUACAAACUUAAUUAUGUAUGUAAAUAGUUUACCUAAAGUUUUGAUGCGUGAGAUUGCAAGUAUCAAAAUAUGUGACAUGAUAGGUCCUAUCCUUUGACUACAUUGACUUAGAAACAUAAAUUUUUUACACCACCAAAGAAUAGUAGACAUUCGUAUUUGAUACAAAUUUCAACUUUAUAGCUCUAUAUGUCCUGAGAAAAAUGGGUUACGACAGACAGACCGACAACAAAUGGCAUAAUAAUAUUUUUUAUUUGAUAUUGUUACAAAUUAACAAUUUUUUUAAAUUUUUUUCCUGUACUUGUACUGUGAAAUCUUGCUUCUUGCCAAAUUUCAUGAUUCUAGGUCAACUGGAAGUACCCUACAGGUUAUCAUAAAUGAUUUCAUGAGUGUAGAAAAAUGUGACAUAAAUGACAUUUUGUAAUUGCAUUGACUUGGAAGCUUAAAAUUUUUGCACUGCCAAGGAACAGUAGUCCUCAGUGUUUCACAUAAAUUUGAACUUGGUACCUCAAUCUGUUCCUGAGAACAAGGGAUCUUAAGAACUGGACAGAUAGUACUUACCAAGUGCAGUGCGAAACCCUGAAAACAAAAAAUGAACCUGACAUGGCUUCGAACCACAGCUCCAUGGUGGAUGUGGGUUCGACAUCCCAGCAGUCUAUGCAGUGAGCUACGACUGCUAGUAUGGUAGUGUUGGGUGAUACAAGUUCCUACGUACAUUCUGAUGCGCUGCAUGAUGUGACAGUAUUGUUAGCUCCUUGUUUUCAUACACUUGUUUUCAAAAUGCACCUGAUCUGAUUUUGCCAGAUAAAUUUUUGUCUUGAAUCUGGAUGAGGACUCAUGUGCUGACUUCCGAAUGUGGAAUUUUUUCUUCACCCUGAAUUUUUGAACCAUUACACUAGGUAUAUAGCAGUUAUCAUAUUUCAUGGUCAAAAUAUGAGUCUUAGUUCAACUGAUGAUACAAUUUGUGUAUUAAAUACAUAUUUGCAUGACUAGCUUUGUGAUAAACACAGAAACAUAAAGGAGGCAAUUUGCAUCAACACAAGAGUAUUGACUCUCUCUACUUAUUUUCUUGCCAUUUUGCCUUGUUACUAAUGUUUCCAUUUUGUAAUAUUUCUUUUCUCUCAUGGAAGGCAGAGCAUAAUACGACAAGUGUUCUGUUUACACAAUCUUUUCCAGCUCUUGUAGUGUUUUAGUCAAGAAUGACUUGAGGUUUUCUCAUUCUUUUUCAUUAGUUCUCUGCUUGUGCUAUAUCAGCAUUAUGUACUAAUCUGAGCAGAUUCUUGUUAUUUUUCAGCUCAGAGUUGUUCUUUGUCUUGCUGGAAAGCUGAAGCAUCUCCCAUGUUCAAAUUCUUGCUCUUUAUUCCAGUUGGGAUAAUUAUCUGGUUCAACUUGCAUAUUGAAUAUCAUAAUGAUACCUAAAGCUACUAUAUCAAACAUUAAUUGUAACACUCAACACUCUUGGCCACAGUGUACAAAAGGAUGUUUCAGUUCUAUCAAUUAUCCAAAUAUCUGUUCAAAAAAGGAUUGAUCAGGUAAAUAUCCUCUUUUGGAUUCACAUAACAUGAAAGACAUUAUGUUAAAUUGGUAUCUUUUAAGUGGCAUAUACUGUAUCUAGCCAAGUCUUGCCUUUGAAUAUAAUAGAGGGAAACAUUCCACGUGGAAAAAUUAUAUCUAAAAACAAAGAUGAUGAGACUUACCAAACAAAAGCGCUGGCAGGUCGAUAGGCACACAAACAAACACAAACAUACAUACAAAAUUCUAGCUUUCGCAACCAACUGUUGCUUCGUCAGGAAAGAGGGAAGGAGAGGGAAAGACAAAAGGAUGUGGGUUUUAAGGGAGAGGGUAAGGAGAUAUUCCAAUCCCGGGAGCGGAAAGACUUACCUUAGGGGGGAAAAAGGACGGGUAUACACUCGCACACACACACAUAUCCAUCCACACAUACACGGACACAAGCAGACAUUUGUAAAGCGGGGUUUGCAUUACAUAUCACUAUUUUAAAUACGUUACAUAUUACAAACCUAUGGAUGCAGAUGUGUUGCUGCAUCUAUUUGAGUGAUGUUCAUUAGUGGCAAAUCAUUGUUUCAUUAUUGCUCAUGGUGAUGAAGGUGAAACAUGUCAUCCAUGAACUAGCAUGUGACUGCGUAUAAAAACUUCAAUUUCUUUGUAAAUGAUAUGUGAAGUGUAGGUAUUGUGAAAGUUAUACUUUCCAAUUAACAGUUAGCUCCAUUGUUUUCCUCUACUGGUGAUUCAACAGGAAAUUGUAUAGAAUUCAAAUCCACUCUGAAAUUAUGUGCAGCAAACAGCUAAAUACUCAGGUGACUCAUUUUACAUCUUCCAAUACAGCUGUUUCUUGAAUUUAGAAAUCAGUUCAUGGUAGGAGUAAAAAAUCUUCCCAUUAAAAAUUUGAUGUUAGUAUUCUGCAGUAUUGUGCUUUCUAUUACUUCAGAUGUUGCUUUACUUUUUCCUUCACCGCCUUUAGCUUCUACUUUCUAGGGUUCCAUACCUCAGUCGGUAAAAAUGUAACUCUUAUAGGAUAUAAUUAGCCAGCUAUCACAAGUAGUUUCCAAUCAGAUAUUAAAAACAAUUGAUUAUAGGACAAUUUUUUGCACAGAUUAGUUAUGGGAUAGAGAUAUGGGGCUGUGCUGCUGACAUACAUGUGAACAGAAUAUUAAUCCUGCAGAAAAGAGCAAUCAGGGUUAUACAUGGAAUAAGGUACAGAAGCUCCUACAGGGAAACCUUUGUACAUCAUACAUACCUCACAGUCUAUUCACUGUAUCUUUACAAAUUAAUUACAUUUUUUGUGAUACAUCAAAACAAACCAACCAGGUGCUCUGAUAUGCACAUCUAUAAUACAAGAAAAACUGAUACUAUGGACAAAGAACAAAACUAAAAAUGACAGACUGUAUAGUCCAUGUUAACAGCCAGAUAUGGUGUAAGAAACUGCUGAGCUCUAUAAGGUGUCUUAAAGGGAACUUAUUCAAAGUGAAAGUAAAAUCAUUGUUGACUGAUAAGUGCUUAUACUCUUUGAGUGAAUAUCAGUACAUCAAAUUGAAAUCUUUGUUACCUUGUUAUGUUAAAUCUGAAUGUUUGUAAUAAUUAUGAUGUAACAUAAAUUAUGUUGUCUUACUAAGUACACUGUCAUUUGUACCAUGCAAAUGUUUUCACUUAUUCGUAUAUAAAAUGUACCUGCUCUCUUUGAAGCUUGUAAAUUUAUUGUCUCACUAAGUACACCAAUAUUUGUAUUAGGUAGAUCUAUAUGUAAUCCCUUAUGCAUGUAUAAAAUGAAUCUGUUUGUAUGAAACUUGUAAAAAAUUGCUGUGACAUUUGCAGAAGUCACCAGUUGGUGGCUUCACGCAAAAAAAUACAACAAAUAGAUUAAAUAAAUCA